AGCAGCUCCUCCAGGCUUGAGGCCGACCUCACGUCCCUUUCCCACUUUUCCAGGUUCCCUGUCUGUCAGGGGGGUUACAGAGCUAACAUUCUGAGGCUUGGAGUACGGCCGUGGAUUCAGAAAAACGAGGAUGUGCAGUUGGACCAGGAAGGCCACAGAGCGGCAUCUGCUGCUAAUGAGGACGUAUAACAUCGAGCGGCCCACUUUGCUUUCUAACUUCAAAGCCACACAAUCGGGACGUGGUCCCAUGGCAGCACUGGUAACAGGAUCCCAUUGACCGACAGCGUGCUCUUGCACUCGAGAACAAAGGGCUUUUGACAGAACCGUGACUGCGGGGCACCCCGUGAGAGGUCAGAGGUGACGUUGUCCGGUUUUCAGAA